UUCAAGUCUUUAAGAGCAAACGGUGGAUGCCUUGGCAUCUGGAGCCGAAGAAGGACGUAGCAAUCUGCGAUAAGCCUCGGGGAACUGAUAAGCAAGUUUUGAUCCGAGGGUGUCCGAAUGGGGAAACCCCGCUGGGCGGCGUGCCGACCUAGUGACUCCCGCCUGAAUAUAUAGGGCGGGUAGAGGGAACGUGGGGAAGUGAAACAUCUCAGUACCCACAGGAAGAGAAAGCAACCGCGAUUCCGUUAGUAGUGGCGAGCGAAACCGGAACAGGCUAAACCUAGCGUGUGUGAUAGCCGGCAGGCGUUGCACGUUGGGGGUUGUGGGACUUUUCAGUCAUCUCUGCCGAGAUGGCGGCGUUACAAGAUGGUAUAGACGAACGGUCUUGAAAGGCCGGUCAUAGAGGGUGCCAACCCCGUAGUCGAAAUGCCAACCUUGGCGCGAAGAGUAUCCCAAGUAGCACGGGGCCCGUGAAAUCCCGUGUGAAUCUGUCAGGACCACCUGAUAAGCCUAAAUACUCCCAGAUGACCGAUAGCGGACAAGUACCGUGAGGGAAAGGUGAAAAGUACCCCGGGAGGGGAGUGAAAUAGUACCUGAAACCGUUUGCUUACAAACCGUUGGAGCAGCCUUAGUAGCUGUGACAGCGUGCCUUUUGAAGAAUGAGCCUGCGAGUUAGCGAUAUGUGGCGAGGUUAACCCGUGUGGGGUAGCCGUAGCGAAAGCGAGUCUGAAUAGGGCGAUUCAGUCGCAUGUCCUAGACCCGAAGCGAAGUGAUCUAUCCAUGGCCAGGUUGAAGCGACGGUAAGACGUCGUGGAGGACCGAACCCACUUAGGUUGAAAACUGAGGGGAUGAGCUGUGGAUAGGGGUGAAAGGCCAAUCAAACUUCGUGAUAGCUGGUUCUCUCCGAAAUGCAUUUAGGUGCAGCGUUGCGUGUUUCUUGCCGGAGGUAGAGCUACUGGAUGGCCGAUGGGCCCUACAAGGUUACUGACGUCAGCCAAACUCCGAAUGCCGGUAAGUGAGAGCGCAGCAGUGAGACUGUGGGGGAUAAGCUUCAUAGUCGAGAGGGAAACAACCCAGACCACCAACUAAGGUCCCAAAGCGCGUGCUAAGUGGGAAAGGAUGUGGAGUUGCCUUGACAACCAGGAGGUUGGCUUAGAAGCAGCCACCCUUGAAAGAGUGCGUAAUAGCUCACUGGUCAAGUGAUUCCGCGCCGACAAUGUAACGGGGCUCAAGCACGCCACCGAAGUUGUGGCAUUGACAUUAUUGGUAGGCCUUCGUGGUCCAGCCGUGUUGAUGGGUAGGAGAGCGUCGUGUGGCCAGCGAAGCGGCGGUGUAAACCAGCCGUGGAGGCUACACGAGUGAGAAUGCAGGCAUGAGUAGCGAAAGACGUGUGAGAAACACGUCCUCCGAAAGACCAAGGGUUCCAGGGUCAAGCUAAUCUUCCCUGGGUAAGUCGGGACCUAAGGCGAGGCCGACAGGCGUAGUCGAUGGACAACGGGUUGAUAUUCCCGUACCGGCGAAGUACCGCCCAUACCGAUACCGGUGAUGCUAACCGCCCAAGACCCCAGUGGUCUCCUUCGGGAGAGUGCUGGUGGUUGCGCGCGGGACCCGAACCGGCAGUAGGUAAGCGUAUUAACAGGGGUGACGCAGA
rnacentral:rRNA from 1 species